rnacentral:tRNA from 1 species
UUGCCUGUAGCUCAGAGGAAAGAGCAACCGCCUUCUAAGCGGUUGGUCGCUGGUUCGAAUCCAGCCAAGCGAGCCA